UUGGGAUUGUGGACUGAAAAAGUUCACAUGAACCAGGAAUGCCUAGUAAGAGUGAGUCACUAGCUUGUGUUGAAUACGUCCCUGAUCUUUGUACACACCGC
rnacentral:ncRNA from 1 species